CCUUCCGUUAACGUUCUCCAGACUCUUCCUCAUUUCCCUUUCUCUUUCCUCUAUCUCUCCUUCCGCUUCUCUCAAGCCCAACGAAAUCCCCACACUACAGCUGACGGGACCCACAAGCUUUUCCUGCGGCCGCAGCUCGCCACCACCGGGGAGCCACCGAGAUCCUCGCGCACGCAGCAAAACUGUCCUGCAUCACCACGGCGAGGCUCCUCUGAUCUGAAUCUCAGAUUAUGAAGGGAGGCCUCCGAAGAUGAUGGGGGCAUGACCCUUGUGACGGCGGAGCCUCGGCGAGGCAAUCCCGACCUCGAGCGUGGCGGAGGUUGUGGAAUGGAUCGAUGCCCCCGAGUGCGGCGGCACGUGUGGUAGGGUUGACGGCCUUGAUUUGUAGCAGCCGGGAAGCGCCCCCGGUAAAUCGCCGCUUCUUGCUCCCCUUUCCCCUUCUGACCGACCGAUAAUAGAACUUGUGUGGACGAGAUUCAAGGCCGACCGAUGAUAGAGCUCGUGCUCAAGAGAUGUUUGAAAUUGCAGAUCUGCAUGAGCUUUGAUGAUGUAGGCAGAUGCAAGCACAGUGCCUUAGAAAUCCGUCGUGUUGAUCGUUUGUGGUAUGGAAUUUUUUUAAUGUUUGCGUUUUAGUGCUUUGCAGAAGCAUUUAACUGCUUGCAUCUCGCAUUCUACACCAAGCAUCAGCCCAUACUGUGCUACUCUCUCAAUGUCUUAUUGCUUAGGUUAUCCUCCUAAUGUUUUACAUUUUUCAUUCCAAGGAGUGUACCUUCAAAAUUUUUCAUUCCAUUUUCUUCGUUUUGUGGUAAUUACUGAACUGCUUCGCGGAUACUCUGUAUGAUAGAUUGUUGUUUGUUCUCUUGCAUGUUUAGCUUGGUUUCAGCUUUCCAGUGUGACAGAUUUCCCUAUGUGCAUCAUGUUGAUAAUUCAGCAUUCAUUUUCUUUAGUCUUUGCUUCCUUUUUCUCCAGGAAGGUCAAAGAAUAAUCUUAUGAUUUAACUGAUAUGCUUUACUAUGUCUUCUGAAGGUUUUUCUGUGAAUCAAUUGUUGCGUCUCCAACACCAGCAUUUGCAUGAAUACUAUAGUGGGAAUAGUGGUUUAGUUACUUCUUUGGCAGGGCACUGAUAGAGUGAGUUUAUUAUGCACAUGAAUCUGAACAUUAGAAAAAAAAACUUCAAAUGACUUUUCUGUUUUUGUUGCUAUCGUUUUUCGAAUGUAAUGUUCUGUGUUUAGACAAGUUCAGAAUAUGUAUUUUAUUAUGCCUAAGAAGUUUGCUGACAAAGUUAUAUCCAUAACAUUUUUUUAAUGUAUUGUUUUGUGUCUGGACAAGUUUAGUAUAUAUAUUUAUUAUCACAGCCUAAGAAGAUUGGUGACAAAGUUAUAUCUAUAGCAUUUUUUAAUGUACCUUUUUUUUGUCUGGACAAGCUUAGAAUAUGUAUUUUCUUACCACCCCUAAGAAAUUUGGUGACAAAGUUAUAUUCAUAACAUUUAUCAAAGAAGUAUGGUGACAAAGUUAUGUCAUAGCAUUUAUUUA